UAUUUCCCCUAAUUUUAAUUAUUUCCCCUUAUUUUUGACAGCUAACAAACAUUUUUGUUUAUAAAUAAUAAACAGUGUACAGUGUCAAUUUUAUAAAUGUAAACAUAACUCGUGUUGACAUGUAUUCGAGAGGCGAGUUAUCAUAGGAUAUCUAAAGAUUUUUAGCCGGCUUUCAAGUACUCUUUGGAAAUUAAGCGAUAGUAGUCAAAAAAUUGAUCAAUUAUGUGGUACAUUCCAAUGAUAAUAAGAAAAAAAGAAGCAAAAAGUUAUAGUACAAAAAAAAUGAUUAAAGGUGAAUACAAAAAAGGAGAUAAUUGUGGCAAAAAAAAUAUAGACAAUGCUGGUAUUAAAGUAAGAAGUUGGUAUACUCUUACCAAGUUAAUGAAGUAUCUUUUUGAAGCUGUUAAAAUUACUUUAGAAACGAUUAAAAAUGUUUCUCAAUACAUAAAAGAAUAUUCAGCACCAUUGAAAACAUUGAAUAAAGGUAGCGAGGGCGUAAAAUCGUCUUCGAUAAAAAUGAAAAGUCAAGCCUAGCCUGCAGGAUACUUCUUAUUGUAUCUCUGCAAGAGUGCUUGUGAUACAUUCACUAAUUUUUUAUUGUAACUCAUAAUUAAUAAUGUUUUUUUUAAAUAUAUAGUCAAGCAAUUGAUGAUUGUUUGUUG